CCAACUCUACUAACCUACUUUUGUCCCUAUCACUGGAGAAUGGGUUUGGUGCUUUGAGCUGUGUUUCUACAUAAAAAAGAAGGAAUCAAAGUGAUGCUGGGUGUGACAAUAUAACAUUUGAAGCUGCUCCAAACAACUUUGACUGUAAGAAAAAGGCCAAGAGAAUACAAGAGGCUCUAACCAAGGACUCUGACUUCACUAAGCCACUGAAACAUUCCUGGCACUACCUACCUCCUGCCUUUUCGUUAUGGGAGGAAACCCUAUUGGUUAGGUCACUGGGUUUAAAACACGUCCUUUAAAAUUGCAGAGGAAGAAAAGGCUUGGAGGGGCAAGAACCAUGAAUGGAGCUUCAGGACUGGAAGUUGCUCGAGGAAAAAUGGAAAAUAAAACCCCAU
rnacentral:lncRNA from 10 species